UCACCUGCCUGGGCCUCUCAAAGUGCUGGGAUUCCAGGCAUAAGCCACCAAACCUGGCCUGUAUCUCUAAUAAUUUAAAUACUGAUACAGUUUCUUCAGAGUGUUGCCUACACCUGGAAAAUUGAGGUUGAUAAAAAUGAAAAAAAUGCAUGGCAUACAUCACUAAGAAUCAAAGGUUGUGCCUGGCAGUGUGAUUGACUCUGUAAUAAAGAGAGAAGCUUCGCUCGCUCCUGAUGCAGCUGCUGUCUGCAGACCCCCUGGACUGCCUGGGGAAGUGAGUUGGAGCUCCUGCAGCAGAGGGGUGGAACAGCUACAUGAAGAUCCGAAGGUGGCCAAAAAUAACAGCGCUUUCCAGAUGAGGGUAAUGUUAUAGCCAAGAUCAUCACUGGGGUAGGGUGUCUUGUUCUUUGUUUUACAACCUAAAAAGUACACAGAAGACUCAAAGAUCGUUCAGGAAGGAGGAAUAAAGUCAGUACAGAACAGAGAAAUGGGAGCAGUUAAAAACAAAGGAAUUGAGUUUCCUUAUGCCAAAAGAGAGAAAACAGAGGCCUUUUAUAGAUAUAUAGAGAGAGCCCUGGCUAUCUGGAUGGCAGUUCUGUUUUCUCCAGCUUCCAUGGCCACAAAAAAAGGGGAGAAUUAUGAAUUUGCAGAGAGAGAGAAAAAAAAAGUGAGAGAGAGAGAGAGAGAGGAUAUAAGGAGAGACUGACCAAGGAACAAAAUAGCAGGGAGUUAGACAAAAAGAGAGAAAAAAAUCAAGAGACAAUGUUGCCUUCUCUUUUCUGCUAUUGGUUGAAAUUUAAUAGAAAUGUAUUGAGAACCAACUCUAUCUAAUCCAGUUAUCUAUUUCUGCAUGACAGAUCCACCUGAAAUUUAUUAACUUAAAACCACAAUAAUCAAGUUAUGAUGAUCUGUCAUUGUUUUGAGUGUUGACAGGGAUCAGCUGGGUGGUUCCCACACAGUCUUUCUUGAAGAUAAGGAUGAGGUCUGCUGGUGGCCAAGGCUGGAGUCAUCACUGAGGCUGCCUCACUCACGUGUCUGCUGGUUGAUGCUGGCCAUGGCUGCAACCGCUCAGCUGGGGCUGUCAAUUAGAACCCCUGCACGGGGUCACUCCACAUAAUCCGAACUUCCUCACAGCAUCUCAUCCUUGCACUUCUUACGUGGCCACUCAGGACUCCAAAGAUGAGUGUCCCAAGAGAGUAAGGUUGAGGCUGAAUGAUCCUUUUUAUUUUUUUCUUGAGAUGGAGUCUCACUCUGUUGCCCAGGCUGGAGU